rnacentral:rRNA from 1 species
CGUCCUACGGGAGGCAGCAGUAGGGAAUCUUCCACAAUGGACGAAAGUCUGAUGGAGCAACGCCGCGUGAGUGAAGAAGGGUUUCGGCUCGUAAAGCUCUGUUGGUAGUGAAGAAAGAUAGAGGUAGUAACUUGCCUUUAUUUGACGGUAAUUACUUAGAAAGUCACGGCUUACUACCUGCCAGCAGCCGCGGUAAUUCGUGGGCGGCAAGCGUUGUCCGGGUUUUUUGGGCGUUAAGCGCGUGCAGGCGGCUCCAUCAGUCUGAUGUGACAGCCUUUCGGUCCACCG